GACCUGUUUCUGAGACUAGCUUCCUCCUUCCAGGGAUGUGGUUUUCCUCAUGGACUGCUCAUUCUGAUCGGAUGUGUCCUCUGAAAGGCAGAGACAGGGGAAGGUGCGUCCUCGUCGAACUCCCGCCUGUACCUUCCUAGUACCUCUGGCCAGCAGCCUGUGUGCCCGUGCUCCCUGGACAUCCGUGAAUGUUUGAUGCUACAUCUCUACCCAAACUGAAGCUUCCCGCCUGCAUUCUGUCAACGGCACUUGCGGGCGGGGCGGGGGGGGGGCAACUUUUGGAACAGAAAGCUCCACCCAUCCUACUCCCUACUACCUGCAAUCAAACCAGCUAAAACACCCCACCUCAGACU
ensembl:lincRNA Gm44238 predicted gene, 44238